CACUAUGUAGCAAUACAGUGUGAUGGACUGCCUUUUGCAUAAUGAGCCUGCGAGUUGUGGUGUCUGGCAAGGUUAAGCAAACGCGAAGCCGUAGCGAAAGCGAGUCUGAAUAGGGCGCUUAGUCAGAUGCUGCAGACCCGAAACGAAGUGAUCUAUCCAUGAGCAAGUUGAAGCUAGUGUAAGAACUAGUGGAGGACUGAACCCAUAGGCGUUGAAAAGCCCCGGGAUGACUUGUGGAUAGGGGUGAAAGGCCAAUCAAACUUCGUGAUAGCUGGUUCUCUCCGAAAUAUAUUUAGGUAUAGCGUUGUGUCGUAAUAUAAGGGGGUAGAGCACUGAAUGGGCUAGGGCAUACACCAAUGUACCAAACCCUAUCAAACUCCGAAUACCUUAUAUGUAAUCACAGCAGUCAGGCGGCGAGUGAUAAAAUCCGUCGUCAAGAGGGAAACAACCCAGACUACCAGCUAAGGUCCCUAAAUCUUACUUAAGUGGAAAACGAUGUGAAGUUACUUAAACAACCAGGAGGUUGGCUUAGAAGCAGCCAUCCUUUAAAGAAAGCGUAAUAGCUCACUGGUCUAGUGAUUUUGCGCGGAAAAUAUAACGGGGCUAAAGUAAGUACCGAAGCUGUAGACUUGCGCACAACUUAGAUUAUUUAAGUUUAGAAUAUGAGAAACUAAGUUAUAUGUUUAGUUAUAUUUUUACUGAUUUUUAUAGAGUAAAGAUAGAAAUAAAACUUAGUAAAAUCAGUAAAAAUAUUCUUAGACUAAAGUUAAGUAGUUUAAGUUGUGUGCAAGUGGUAGGAGAGCGUUCUAUUUGCGUCGAAGGUAUACCGGUAAGGAGUGCUGGAGCGAAUAGAAGUGAGCAUGCAGGCAUGAGUAGCGAUAAUUAAUGUGAGAAUCAUUAACGCCGUAAACCCAAGGUUUCCUACGCGAUGCUCGUCAUCGUAGGGUUAGUCGGGUCCUAAGUCGAGUCCGAAAGGGGUAGACGAUGGCAAAUUGGUUAAUAUUCCAAUACCAACAUUAGUGUGCGAUGGAAGGACGCUUAGGGCUAAGGGGGCUAGCGGAUGGAAGUGCUAGUCUAAGGUCGUAGGAGGUUAUACAGGCAAAUCCGUAUAACAAUACUCCGAGAACUGAAAGGCUUUUUGAAGUCUUCGGAUGGAUAGAAGAACCCCUGAUGCCAUCGAGCCAAGAAAAGUUUCUAAGUUUAGCUAAUGUUGCCCGUACCGUAAACCGACACAGGUGGGUGGGAUGAGUAUUCUAAGGCGCGUGGAAGAACUCUCUUUAAGGAACUCUGCAAAAUAGCACCGUAUCUUCGGUAUAAGGUGUGGUUCGCUUCGUAUUAGGAUUUACUCCGAAAGCGAAGAAACUUACAACAAAGAGUCCCUCCCGACUGUUUACCAAAAACACAGCACUCUGCUAACUCGUAAGAGGAUGUAUAGGGUGUGACGCCUGCCCGGUGCUCGAAGGUUAAUUGAUGGGGUUAGCAUUAGCGAAGCUCUUGAUCGAAGCCCGAGUAAACGGCGGCCGUAACUAUAACGGUCCUAAGGUAGCGAAAUUCCUUGUCGGUUAAAUACCGACCUGCAUGAAUGGCGUAACGAGAUGGGAGCUGUCUCAAAGAGGGAUCCAGUGAAAUUGUAGUGGAGGUGAAAAUUCCUCCUACCCGCGGCAAGACGGAAAGACCCCGUGGACCUUUACUACAGCUUGACACUGCUAUUUGGAUAAGAAUGUGCAGGAUAGGUGGGAGGCUUUGAGUAUAUGACGCCAGUUGUAUAUGAGCCAUUGUUGAGAUACCACUCUUUCUUAUUUGGGUAGCUAACCAGCUUGAGUUAUCCUCAAGUGGGACAAUGUCUGGUGGGUAGUUUGACUGGGGCGGUCGCCUCCCAAAUAAUAACGGAGGCUUACAAAGGUUGGCUCAGAACGGUUGGAAAUCGUUCGUAGAGUAUAAAGGUAUAAGCCAGCUUAACUGCAAGACAUACAAGUCAAGCAGAGACGAAAGUCGGUCUUAGUGAUCCGGUGGUUCUGUGUGGAAGGGCCAUCGCUCAAAGGAUAAAAGGUACCCCGGGGAUAACAGGCUGAUCUCCCCCAAGAGCUCACAUCGACGGGGAGGUUUGGCACCUCGAUGUCGGCUCAUCGCAUCCUGGGGCUGGAGCAGGUCCCAAGGGUAUGGCUGUUCGCCAUUUAAAGCGGUACGCGAGCUGGGUUCAGAACGUCGUGAGACAGUUCGGUCCCUAUCUGCCGUGGGCGUAAGAAGAUUGAAGAGAUUUGACCCUAGUACGAGAGGACCGGGUUGAACAAACCACUGGUGUAGCUGUUGUUCUGCCAAGAGCAUCGCAGCGUAGCUAAGUUUGGAAAGGAUAAACGCUGAAAGCAUCUAAGCGUGAAGCCAACUCUAAGAUGAAUCUUCUCUAAGCUCUCUAGAAGACUACUAGUUUGAUAGGCUGGGUGUGUAAUGGAUGAAAGUCCUUUAGCUGACCAGUACUAAUAGAGCGUUUGGCUUAUCUUUAAUAAAGCAU
rnacentral:rRNA from 1 species